rnacentral:rRNA from 1 species
GAGUUUGAUCCUGGCUCAGAUUGAACACUGGCGGCAUGCCUAACACAUGCAAGUCGAACGGCAGCACAGCAGAGCUUGCUCUGUGGGUGGCGAGUGGCGGACGGGUGAGUAAUACAUCGGGACCUACCCUGACGUGGGGGAUAACCUCGGGAAACCGGGACUAAUACCGCAUACGUCCUACGGGAGAAAGCGGGGGACCUUCGGGCCUCGCGCGUCUGAACGGACCGAUGUUCGAUUAGCUUGUUGGUGGGGUAACGGCCUACCAAGGCGACGAUCGAUAGCUGGUCUGAGAGGAUGAUCAGCCACAUUGGGACUGAGACACGGCCCAAACUCCUACGGGAGGCAGCAGUGGGGAAUAUUGGACAAUGGGCGCAAGCCUGAUCCAGCAAUGCCGCGUGUGUGAAGAAGGCCUUCGGGUUGUAAAGCACUUUUAUCAGGAACGAAAUCUGCAUGCUUAAUAGGUGUGUAGUCUGACGGUACCUGAGGAAUAAGCACCGGCUAACUUCGUGCCAGCAGCCGCGGUAAUACGAAGGGUGCAAGCGUUAAUCGGAAUUACUGGGCGUAAAGGGUGCGUAGGCGGUUUGUUAAGUCUGUUGUGAAAUCC